rnacentral:lncRNA from 1 species
AUUUAAAUGCGAAAAUCUCUCAAGGGAGGCUUGUGCUGCCUCUAGAUAUCUUUCAGCUAUGUGUAAAUUUACCUAGGGUUUUGUCACUUAUAGUAGUGUCUGGUACAUCAUAAGUUCUCAGCGAGUAUUAGACAGAUUCUACCACAUUGUAACUGUGUGAACUUGGGCGUGCCUCAGUUUCCUCAUCUGUAAAAUAUGGCAAAAUAAUUUAUCGUGCAUGGCGAUUUUAUUUGGCAAGCAUGUACUUUUAUAGUCUUUGCUCUGUGCUCUGCCCUGUGCAGGUAUUAACUCUAACUUUCAUAGGAGCCUAAUGAGGCAGAUACCAUUCCUAUCCUCAUUUACAGAUGAAGCAACUGAGGAACUGGGAGGUUAAAUAUUUCUUUCAAGGUAACACAACUGGUAAUUAACUGAGUUGAGAUUCAAACCUAGACACUCUAGCUCCGGAGUCUGAGUUUGUACUGAUUACUCUGUGCUACGGAUGCAGUGAAACAAUAUUUGUAAAGCAUCUGUCGAAUUCCUGACACAUAGCAGAAGCUUAGUAGAUGUCAGCUCCUCUCCCAUCUUCUCAUUAAAUAUCUUUAGAAAUUCUCAUGGAAUGCAAAAUGAUAUGAAUUUAUCAGCUGGCCUACGUGUUUUCCUAAAAUAUCCAAGUUUGUGUAAUAGCAGCAUCCCUGAGUUCUUUAGGGGUGCCCAGAAAUAUGCGAACAUACCUCUCUCUGAUUAGGCCCAUCUCGGAUCAUCUUUUCUGUUGACACGUUGGAGUUCCCGGAAGCCAGACAUCAGGAUGCACUGCGGUGUGUGCCGUGAUACCCUGUAGAGCAGCUGUCAGGGAUGACAGUCUGGAGCAGAACAGCUGGAGGGCAGAGCUGAUGCUUCUAAUGACUGAGAACAAGUAAUGGAGAUGAGGCAGCCAAAGGAGUGGUGUCUGACUGCGGCGCGCACCACCCCAUGCUGUUGUGCAGAGCUCCUUGAUGAGGACGCUGUAAGAAUUCUAGAUGGGACAAUUCUGUGCUGUGCGGGACUGUCCUGAUAGAAUCAAUCUGAGUUAUUUCAUACAUUGUAGGAUUUGUAGCAUCCUUGACUCCCAGAUACUGAAUGCUAGUAACUCCACCUAGCAACAACUAAAAAUCAAAACCGGAAUAUGUUGCCCGGGGGUAAGAGAUGGUGUUAUCACCUCUAUUGAAAACUGCUCCCUGUCUGGCCUUUGGGGUUUACCUGGGAUUAUGAGCAGACGGCUUCAUUAUCUAUUGCCUUCUGCUCAAAAUCAGGGGGCAGCCAGGAACACCUAGCAUCAGUGCCACCUGGGAGCUGAUUACAAAUGCAGAAUCUUAGGUCCCAUCCCCAACCUCUGGAUCAGCAUCUGCAUUUUAACAAGAUCCCCAGUGAUUUGCACACAGAUUAUGGUUUGAGAAACAUUGUCUUACUAGAUGGAACAUGGACUUUGGAGUAAGAAGAUCCAGGGUUGAAAUUGAGACUCUGCCUCUUACUAGCUGUGUGACCAUGGGAAGAUCACUUAACCUUUCUGAGCCUCAGUUUCUUCAUCUCUAAAAAGAUUUUAAUACUUUCCCCAUGCUGUAGGCAUACAAUAAGCACUCAAUAAAUAUCAUUUCCCUUCUCCCCGAUCCCUUCCACCAGGGAACACAGUCAGGAAAACCAGUUUAGUUCUUUGGUGAUCAUUAGUGAAUUAUUAUCAUAGGAUAUUGUGGCAAGAUGAAGAGAAGAUGAUGUUCAUUCUCUCCCUCUGUCUCCUCUUUCCUCACUCUGCUGCGUUCUUCCAUAGUUAUAGACACAGUACUUAUCAAGUUCUAGCCAGGGCAUCGCUGGGCCAUGACAAACACUGGAAGAGUGGGCUGGUUGGGUGUGACCAGGAAUGGGAGAGUACAGCUCUCCCGGUUCAAACAGGUUAGUUCAGUGGAACAAAUUACAUUUCCAAGGUAAGAUUUGGGACUGCCGGCAAAGGCUGGACUGGAAGGGAAGAGUCUAGAGGUCACGAUCAGGUCCAGGGAGUUGAUUGGGCAGAGGGUGGGGGAAUAGGAUCAGAGAGAUGUCUGGGACCAAGGAAGAUGGAAAUAAGCCUGUCAGGACACUUUCAGAUGCUUUCUCUACAUCCUCUUCUGUGCUCCCAGUGUGCCCUGCACGUGACUCCACCAGGGUACCCAUCACUCUGGACGGAAACACAGAUCUGACUUUUUUAUUAUUAGAUUGAAAGGAUUUUGAGGAUGAAUAUUAUCUUACAGAUUGUCUCCUGUUUCACUUGUUUAUAUAUCUAGGAUGUAUAAACGGGUACUGUCUGCAAUGAUGAAAGAGUGAACAAAGUUGUGCCUCCAGUGCUACAAUCCCAUCGCAGUGCAUUCCUUACAGGAACCCACGGGGCCUUUAACAGAGCCAACAGUGAGGCGCUCCCUGAGCAAACGCAUCCUCGUUGGUCUCCAAUCCUACAAGCCUCUGUCAGGGAGCAGCCUGGGUGUCCCACUGCCCCUCUCUUCUCACUGCUAGUGUCCUAUGCAUAGAGAAGGAACCCACGGGAAAGGACGGAGAGUUGGCAGAAUCUCUACCCACCAGGUCUCCUUUGCUCACGGUUUUGACUGUGGUUGGAUUGAGAGCCUGUUACUUUGCAGGGAACCAGCUGCCUCAGUUUCCAGGAGCUCAGAGAGGCUAGGAAAGAUUGAUUGUGCCUUUCUUUACUGGAGAGCUACCUGCUGGCCCCAUGGGAUGGCUCAGGAAGUCAGUCCCGAAGAAGUUAGCUCAGGGAUUUACCUGGACUCUGAUGGGAGGGUGGAAACCGGCCUACGGGAGACAGGCAUAAAAUGCAGCCUCUCCACUCUGGAGAUGAGGCCAUGCCCCCGAGUAGAGCUGCUUAAUGAGCUUGGCUGCUUUCCAGAAAUGGAUGUUCAGGAGGAGAGGGCACAACCCCUCCAUCAGGCCCGGGCCUCAGGACCUGAGAUUAGUUGCCACUGAGGAUUACUCAUCCUGUGACAGUUAAAUGUGUUUGAUUUCAUUGCAGAUCAGCUCCACAGCUUAUUAUCAUGCUCAGCAAAACUGUCUGCGGCCCGGAAUUUCCUCACGGGAGGGGAAGGAUGGGGGACUUGCUGGGUGUGGAGGGAGGAAUGGCCUGUGGACCUUCUAUGUUGAAAGUGGAUAAAUCAAAGGAAACCUGGCUCUUACUCUCUCCCACUCUUCCUAGCAGAUCUUUUGUCUAAUUCUGGCUUUCUGAAGAAUGCAUCGUUCUCCUCAGAAGACCCCAAGCAGAGAUGGGCAGAGAUGGGAGGCAUUGGGGGGUGGAUGAGGGUGGGGAGAGACCCAGGGCUCCACCUGAAGCAAGCUAAGUGCUGAGAAUGGUUUUGAGCCCCUUCUCUACACUCACCCGGCACACUUUUCUAUUUCUCUUUGCGGGGGGCUGGAGGGAUGGGCAGGACAGAGGAAAGAGCAAUGAAAGUAGGGAGUCUUUGCCACUUUAUUUACAAUGUGAGCUGUUUCCUCUCUCUUUUUCUUUUGUUCAUUUCUUUGCUCUUUUUAAAUUUUUCAAAUGGUAGAAACAGUAUCCAGCUCAGUAGCUCCCUUUCUCUUUUCCAGUCCCCAAAUUUUACUCACAUUUUGAAGGAAGGUUUGAGUCAUGCUGCCAUGUAAAGAACAUGGCCAGGUGAGAUGUUGACUGAGGACGAAGAGAACAUGCAACGGCUGGUGGAAGAAGAAAGUUAUAAAUACCAACAUGGGCACGUGACUAAUUGCAGAAAGGAAGUCUUCAUAACUACGCACAAUCUCUUCUUUGCUUUGAGAUAUAUAUAUAUAUAUAUAUAUAUAUAUUAAUCAGCUCUUUUUCUCUCCUUCCUCAUUCCCCCUCUAGCCAAUAUAAAGUGUUAGCCCUAGAAUUUGGCAUUUAGGUCAUAGGAUAUCAAAGGAAGAUUGCAUCUGAACUAAGAAAGAAGUGAACAUUCCCAGAGAUAAAGCAACUAUGGGAUACUGUGUGUUUCUUUUAGGGGGUAAGGGGGCAUCUUCAGUUGUGUAAGGGACAGUCACAUCAUGUCAGGAAUAAUGUGAUGUUGUUACUGUCCUUUUUGGGAAGUUCUAAUCUGGGGUAAGAAGCGUGGACUGUGCUCAUUUGUUUAUUUUCAGCUCAGCAUCCCUCCACCCUUUUCUAAGAUCUCCUUUUCAACACGGAGGGGAAGCCAGGAACCGCGUCUCUUGCAGGAGGGGAAGCCAGGAACCGCGUCUCUUGCAGUUCCCUUUCCUGUAUGGCUCUGGCUAGAGCUUGUUCACGAGAGGUUCUUGGGCGAGAUCUGCACAAUGGAGAAAAGGCAAAGCCAUUCUCGAAAACUGUCUCCGUCAGGGAUGGAGGCAGCUGUGGCUUCCCAGUGAGCUCUCGAGGACCCCCGCCUCACUGCCGCAGCCCGAGAGGGUGGCAGCUUCCCAGAGACCCAAGAAUCUCAGCACUUACCUGCUGGUGGCUCCUCUAACCUUUAUUCUUGCCGUUGUUACAAUGUUUGUAAGACAGUAAUAAAUGGAGAAGUGCUUUCUGUUUUCCCCGUUCAGGCUGUGUUCUGGCACUGGGGCUGGGGGUGGGCAUUUGUCUCACACCACUUGACAACACCUGGCUUCUGAUUGAUUUGAACUUUUCAACACUCUGCCUGGCAACGUUUGCUGUGAAUUCUGUCCAAGUGCCAAGGCAGACGUGGCUAGUGAGAGAACAAGACAGUGGUCUGGACUGCCUCACCACCGCUGUUGUGUGGAUCUGGUGACAAGGGAAAGGUCAGCCUGGAGUCCCCUGCUGUUGAGUUGAUGGCUGUCAGGUGGGUGACCUUGGCUGGAAGUGUCAGAAUCUAGAUAGAGGCAGCUCAGAGCCUACCAGGCUGGCUGCCCUAAGGGCGGGCCCCUUUGGCCACUCCAGAAACCUUCCUUCAGGGAGGGACCUUGCUUCUGCGGUGGGUACCCAGCCUUGGCCUCAGGUUGUCCCACACUGAGUUCAGACAGGGAUGGGCCUGAGUGCGCGAGCCAUGAGCCUCUGGCACAGAGUGAGGGCUCUGUGGUCAAGAGCACGGACUCUGGAGGCUGAUGUUGGCCUUUGAAUUCUGCCCCACCACUUACUAGCUGUGUGACCUUUGGCAAAUUUCUACACCUGUGACCCUUAGUUUUCU